CUUUAACAAAAAUAUUAAAAUAUAAAAAAAUUUGAACAAACGGUUUUGUCAGAAAAAUUACACUGGUUAUAUAGCAAUUUGACAAACACCAAUUUUGAUCAUUGAGAUGCUUAAUAUUCCUUUUACAACACAAGGUCAUUAAAACGUUCUGCUGAUUUUACAGAGUUAUCUCCCUGUAGUGUUAGGUACCACCCUAAACAAACAAAGCAAGCAACACAACCAAAGUCCUUCUAUUCAAGCAUUAUGAAAUUAACUCUAAAAACAUGCAAUGUUAUGUGCUGUUAGUAAAUUGGUUUAUUUCUUAACCUCUGAUAGAAAGUUAUGAAUGGGUGCUUAUUGAAACUGUAUGGAAUAAUUUAUUUACUGGUAAAAAUAAUGUCUUUGAUAAAUAAUUGUAAAAGGAUGCGGGUUUUUUUAUGAAUUAUUGAAUGGAAUAUUUUACUUUUCUGGUGUAUUAUGUAUUUUAUUUAUACAUAUACAAUUGAUUAAAUGAUUUUUAAAAGGUGAUUAUGUUU
rnacentral:lncRNA from 1 species